ensembl:lncRNA
UGCAGGGAGAGAAAGUGACUGCUGUGCUGGGGAAAGGAGGAGGGAAGCUGUGGCCCUCAGCCAGCUGUCCUUUAAAAAUUAAUCACUAUAGGCACCAACUAAUUUUUCUCAUGGCUGAUCCUUCAAAAUGUACGUGGGGAAAACUGGAAAGUGCAACAGACUGUAGAAAUCUACUUCUCUGGACAGAGCCUUCUGACAGUUUCACAAUGAAGACAAACGCAUACGUGGAGAGAGAGAUGUCAGAGUGGAAAGGCUCCUGAAAUGAGACCUAUCAGCUAACUGGCAAAGACAUAAUAGGCUGCAUGCCUCUGCAGAACUAUAAUAAACAAUCUUUGUUUUCAUUAUUGCUCCUUAAUUUAGUUAAACUAGAAUGUGGUA